CGCGUAGGUGGUAGUGUAAGUCUGGGGUGGAAUCCCAGGGCUCAACCCUGGAACUGCCUUGGAAACUGCAUUACUUGAGUCAGUGAGGGGAGGGUAGAAUUCCUGGUGUAGCGGUGAAAUGCGUAGAUAUCAGGAGGAAGGCCUGUGGCGAAGGCGGCCCUCUGGCGCUGGACUGACACUGAGGCGCGAAAGCGUGGGGAGCAAACAGGAUUAGAUACCCUGGUAGUCCACGCCCUAAACGGUGGGCACUAGGUGUAGGGCUCGUAAGGGUUCUGUGCCGAAGGGAACCAUUAAGUGCCCCGCCUGGGGAGUACGGCCGCAAGGUUGAA
rnacentral:rRNA from 1 species